rnacentral:rRNA from 1 species
GACGAACGCUGGCGGCGUGCCUAAUACAUGCAAGUUGAGCGAUGAAGGUUGGUACUUGUACCAACUGGAUGAGCAGCGAACGGGUGAGUAACGCGUGGGGAAUCUGCCUUUGAGAGGGGGACAACAUUUGGAAACGAAUGCUAAUACCGCAUAAAAACUUUAAACACAUGUUUUAAGAUUGAAAGAUGCAAUUGCAUCAACCAAUGAUGAUACCGCGUUGUCUUAGCUAGUUGGUGAGGUAAAGGCUCACCAAGGCGAUGAUACAUAGCCGACCUGAAGAGGUGAUCCGGCACAUUUGGACUGGGACCCCGCCCAAACUCCCACGGGAGGCAGCAAUAGGGAAAUCUCGGGCAUUGAGGGAAGGCCUACCGAACAACGCCGGCUGAGUUGAUGAGGGUUUUGGAUCGUUAAACUUCUUUGAUAGAGAAGAACGAUAUGUGUAGUUAACAGCGCAUCAAGUGACGGUAACUACCCAGAAAGCCACGGCUAACUACGUG